rnacentral:rRNA from 1 species
ACUUAAAUUGAAGAGUUUGAUCAUGGCUCAGAUUGAACGCUGGCGGCAGGCCUAACACAUGCAAGUCGAGCGGCAGCGGGACAGUAGCUUGCUMCUUUUGC